GACGAACGCUGGCGGCGUGCCUAAUACAUGCAAGUUGAGCGCUGAAGGUUGGUACUUGUACCAACUGGAUGAGCAGCGAACGGGUGAGUAACGCGUGGGGAAUCUGCCUUUGAGCGGGGGACAACAUUUGGAAACGAAUGCUAAUACCGCAUAAAAACUUUAAACACAAGUUUUAAGUUUGAAAGAUGCAAUUGCAUCACUCAAAGAUGAUCCCGCGUUGUAUUAGCUAGUUGGUGAGGUAAAGGCUCACCAAGGCGAUGAUACAUAGCCGACCUGAGAGGGUGGUCGGCCACAUUGGGACUGAGACACGGCCCAAACUCCUACGGGAGGCAGCAGUAGGGAAUCUUCGGCAAUGGACGAAAGUCUGACCGAGCAACGCCGCGGGAGUGAAGAAGGUUUUCGGAUCGUAAAACUCUGUUGGUAGAGAAGAACGUUGGUGAGAGUGGAAAGCUCAUCAAGUGACGGUAACUACCCAGAAAGGGACGGCUAACUACGUG
rnacentral:rRNA from 1 species